rnacentral:rRNA from 1 species
AAUGAACGUUGGCGGCGUGGAUUAGGCAUGCAAGUCGUGCGCGAAUCGUAGCAAUACGAGGAGAGCGGCGAAAGGGAGAGGAUAGCAUAGAUACCUACCCUCGGACCUGGGAUAGCUAUGGGAAACUAUAGGUAAUACCAGAUAAUGUCUCCGGACCAAAGGUGUGAUUCCGUCCGGGGAGGGGUCUAUGUCCUAUUAGCUUGUUGGUGAGGUAACGGCUCACCAAGGCCAAGAUGGGUACGAGGCGUGAGAGCGUGUCCUCGCUCACUGGGACUGAGACACUGCCCAGACACCUACGGGUGGCUGCAGUCGAGAAUCUUCGGCAAUGGGCGCAAGCCUGACCGAGCGACGCCGCGUGCGGGAUGAAGGCCUUCGGGUUGUAAACCGCUGUCAGUGCGGAGGAAAUGUAGUGGGGUUCUCCCCAUUAUUUGACCUAUGCGCAGAGGAAGGACGGGCUAAGUUCGUGCCAGCAGCCGCAGUAACAC